GUAAUCUUAGAAGGAACUCAAGACCCCUGGGCUAAUGAGUUUCCAUUCCUGACUGUGCAAUAAGAGCUGGAUGCAUCUGUAACAAAAGGCGGGACCCCUGAGCCCUGGAGUACAGAGAUUCCUUGGGGAAUUCGGCAGUUAGUGGGGCUUUAUGGCAGAUUCUUUCAGGGUUAUGAUGGGCUUGGGGGGAUGGCAGGAGGGCAUCUCAGCGGACCUGUGCCUGGGUAAGGAAUGGGUAGAGGGUCAGAGAACUUGCUGGGCACUUCUCUGGGUGGAGAAUGAGCAACAGAAGUGUCCCAUGGUUAGGAUGAGGCCGCCUCAUUUGAAAUGUUAAUAAAUCAUCUGGAAAAGGGAUUUACGCAGUGAAAGCUGGGGAUGUGCAAAUGGCACUAAGUUUUUUGAGGGAAUGAAAUGUCAAGCCAAUGGGGAUACGCUACAGAAUCCCACAAGGGUGUGUACGAGUGGGCAGAGAAGUGACAGAUGAGAUUUGGUGUGGGCAAGUGUAAGAUAAUGUAUUUAAAGACAUAUCUCAAGUGCUGUAUGACUUCCUUCUGAGAUGAUUUGGGGAGGUCAUCCAGUUCUAUGGUGAGUAGAUCAUUUAUGCCAAUGAGCCCCAAGUUCAUGCCCUCAGCCCUGGCUUCACCUGAGCUCCAGACUCACCAUUUGACUCUCACUGACAUCACCACUGGGGUGCCUCACAGGUGCUCCAGAUCUGGCAGGGCGUCAAUGAGUUCUUGCUUCUUCCCUUACACCUGUUCCUCCCGCAGCCUUCCUCAUCUCACUAAAUGGCAACUCCAUGGAGCCUAUCCUUGCAUCUCUGCAAAAUGCACACAUCCCGAAAAAGUCGGCAGAUGGGAAAGGGAGGUAGGCAGAUAGCUGUGAAAGGUGCAUGGCCUCUGGCUUUUGGAAGGAUGACCAGAAGGGAUGGCUGGAAGCCCAAAGAACUGUGAAACUGAUGGGGGAAAGUCAAUGGGUUUCAUCAGUGAAUCCAAGGAUGGGAUGGCUAGGAUUUGGAAGUGUAAAAAGAUACAUGUCAGGAUGAAACCAAAGGAAGCUACCAGGCCCACUGUGUAUUUCCACAUGGAGUGCCGCUGCCCACCCUUCCCAGCUGUCUGCUGGAGGUAUCCUGUGCCUUUCAUCCAAAUCCUACUUUUUCUCUGCAUCC
rnacentral:lncRNA from 1 species